GGCAUAUGGAGGUUCCCAGGCUAGGGGUCUAAUCAGAGCUGUAGCCACCGGCCUCCGCCAGAGCCACAGCAACCAAUGCAGGAUCCAAGCCGUGUCUGCAACUUACACCACAGCUCGCGGCAACGCCGGAUCUCCAACCCAUGGAGCAAGGGCAGGGAUUGAAUCCACAACCUCAUGGUUCCUAGUCAGAUUCAUUAACCACUGUGCCACGACGGUAACUCCUUGGCAGGAUACUUUUAUAUUAUCAAUUUCACUUAUCAACUUGAAUCCCUCCUAGCUAUAUGGAAAUAACUAGGAAGGGAAAGUCUGGGAAACUUUGGAGAAGUUACUUACUUUCUCUGAUUCUCAUUUUUAUCAUCCAUAAAUUGAAAACAACAAUAGUUCAGAUCUUAAAAUGUUACUUUGUGAAUUCAAUAAUACAUGUAAAGCACUUAGAGCAGUGUCUAGCACAUAAUUAAUACAUAAACAUGUAUUUCUAAUCCAAUCUCAAACUCGAUGCAUGUACCUCAUGAAUAAUAUAUGUCAUAAGCACAAAUAUAAAGAAGUAAAAACUCAUGAUAAUUAAAAUCAGUGAAAUUAUGACCAAUGAAGCACAAAUGGGUAACAUGGGAGAAAAAAAAUUACAAUCAGUAGAAUAUAAAUCAAUGUACACCUCACAUCAGCAAAAGGAGGCAGACUUCUGUUUUUUCUGCUGUAAGAAAAUGAAACUCUAAUACUGUGAAUGUGGAAAGGAGCUCUCAAACCAUUAAGGCCAAGUUUUAGGCCACAACACGUUGAGAAUCAGGAAAAUCCAAAAAUGUGAAAAUCCAACUCUAACUGCUCCCCCAGCUAAGGAGGAUUGAGGAAUCCUUUUUAAAAGACCAAAGACCAAAUUUUUUAUAAGAUUUACAAAAUAGCUAACAUUGCACUCAUUUCUAACAUUCUGAGUUAAAGACCUUAAGCGACUGUAGACUGAAUCCAGUUUACUAAAACAAUGCUUAGGAAGGGAGUAAUAGGCACCUUGGUUUCUGAACAUGUGCAGUAUCUCACUGGCUGUACAACAAUGCUACCAUCCCAUCGACAGAUCUGCUUACACUGAAAGGCCCCUUUAUUUAUUUAUUAAUUACUUAUUUGUUUAUGAUGUUUAGGGCUGCACCCACGGCAUAUGGAAGUUCCCAGGCUAGGGGUCGAAUCAGAGCUACAGCUGCUGGCCUACACCACAGUCACAGCAACGCCAUAUCCAAGCCGCAUCUGCGCCUGCACCGCAGCUCAUGGCAACACCAGAUCCGUUAAUCCACUGAGCGGGGCCAGGAAUCAAACCUGCAUCCUCAUGGAUACUAGUCAGGUUUGUUACCACUGAGUCACAAAAGGGACCAUUUAAGCAGGAUCCUGCUGUGUAGCAUUGGAACUAUGUCUAGAUACUUACAUUGCAACACAACAAUGGGAGGAAAAAGUAUGUAUGCAUGUAUGUGUAACUUGGACCCCAUGCUGUACAGCCGGGGGCGGGGGGGUGGAGAAUAAACCUUAAAUAGCAUCUGGAUCCAACCCUUCAUUGAAAGAUGAAGAAAAUACCAUGUGAUGGUGGUCACUGCACAGAGAUGAAUACAACGAAAACUUCAUUAAUUUCAUGACCACAUCAAUUUAGAAUUUGUAAUAGGUUUAAAAAUGAGCCUAUUACAUUUUCCGUAUUCAAAUUUUAUUUAUUUAUUUAUUUUUUUGCCUUUUUGUCUUUUUUUUUUAGGGCCACACCCAUGGCACAUGGAGGUUCCCAGGCUAGGGGUCCAAUCAGAGCUGUAGCCACCAGCCUAGGCCAGAGCCACAGCAACGAGGGAUCCAAGCCGUGUUUGUGACCCACACAGCAAUGCCGGAUCCUUAACCCACUGAGCGAGGCCAGGGAUUGAACCCGCAUCCUCAUGGUUGCUAGUCAUGUUUGCUAACCACUGAGCCAUGACGGGAACUCCUAUAUUCAGAUUUUAAAUGUGUCACAAUUCAUGAAUUUAAUAUUUUGGAUGCUACUGUAUAUAACUCAGACCUUUAUAAAUAAUAGCGAGUUUUUCACUCAUCUCCUUUCUCUAAUUAUUACUCGUGUGUGUUACAAAAGGAAUAUUGUAUCAGUCUGUGCCUCUUUCACAGUGUGUCCAUUUAUCUAUCUUGGAUUACACUACUUGUUCACAUAUAUUAGAAUAAUUUAAAGAAGCUUAGCUAUGACUAAAUCCAUAUAACUAAAUCUAUAAUAUACUUUUUUGUUUUUUUAUAUAAUGAUUAUUCGUUUUAAUUAUAGCUGGUUUACUGUAAUAAAUACAUUUUAAGGGUCAAUUACUUUGUCAUUCUGCAAAGAACAAAGGUGCCCACAUGAGGAUGUCUACUUAAUAAAAAAAAUUGGAUACGAUGACUACAAAAAAAUUACAGAAUACUAAAUAUGUCCACACAUUACCUCAAAGCCCCUUUCAAAUGUAUGUAUGAACAAAAAAAAAGAAAACAUCUUACUUCUUUUGAGGCUGCACAUAAAAACCACCAAUGAUAAUAUACCCAGAGCCUGUAACAGCCAGCCAGCAUGUACCAAAUCUCAUGAUAAAGAGGCUCUACAGAGAUAGCAAUGAAGAAAACCUGGUGGCAGUGAUAGUUUGUUGUCGAUGACUUGGAUAAUUCAUGCUUAUAGCACCAGAUGAUUUUCACCAGAGUGAAACUAAGAGAAACAAUGAUGAAUUAGAUGACAGAAUCUCAAAAGGUUAGAAUAAUGGGCCAAGUGUACUAAGCAUGCCAAGAUGAACUUCAACGGAGGCUGCACAUACAUAUGAUUUAAAACUACCACAUCCAAACAAGACUUUAGAAUUGGUUAACUGUCACUGUCAUCAAGAGAAGAAAAUAGGCAUGGCUGGCAGGAAUGUUGAUGUGCUCUUCAAUUAUGCCAGCUACCUGACAGUAUCUAGAAUAAGAGCAGGCAUAGUCCUAAUUAUCAGUCCAACGUAACACUUAGCUUUCUGAGCUAUGUUUCAGAUAGGCAGUUAAGAUAAGGUGAUUUUCUAAAACUUUAGUAAUUUUUACAUUGGGAUAUAGUUGACAUAUAUUACAAAGUAUAAGCCUAAGGUGUAUAACAUCUUGGUUUGACGCAUUUAUAUAUAAUGACACGAUUACUACCGCAGUGUUAGCUAACAUCUUUGUCAAGUGACGUAUUUAUUAUUUCCUUUUUGUGUUAGAACAGUUAAGAUGUAGUCUCUUAGCAAUUAUGAAGUUUAUAACACAGUAUUA
rnacentral:lncRNA from 1 species